rnacentral:rRNA from 1 species
GAUGAACGCUGGCGGCGUGCUUAACACAUGCAAGUCGAUCGGUAACGCGGGGGCAACCCUGGCGACGAGAGGCGGACGGGUGAGGAACGCUUGGGAAUCUGCCUAUCAGCGGGGGACAACACGGGGAAACUCGUGCUAAUACCGCAUACGCUCUACGGAGGAAAGCCGGGGACCGCAAGGCCUGGCACUGAUAGAUGAGCCCAAGCCGGAUUAGCUAGUUGGCGGGGUAACGGCCCACCAAGGCGACGAUCCGUAGCUGGUCUGAGAGGACGAUCAGCCACACUGGGAAUGAGACACGGCCCAGACUCCUACGGGAGGCAGCAGUGGGGAAUAUUGGACAAUGGGGGAAACCCUGAUCCAGCGACGCCGCGUGGGUGAAGAAGGCCUGCGGGUUGUAAAGCCCUUUCGGUAGGGACGAAAGCUCUCGACCUAACACGUCGGGAGGUUGACUUAACCUACAAAAGAAGCACCGGCUAACUCUGUGCCAGCCGCCGCAGUAA